UGUGUGUGUGUGUCUCUUUGGUUAACUUGAAACGAAGUCUUAUAGACAGGUCUAAACAGCAAAUCCUCUUUUAAUACAGAAUUCAUUGUUGAAUAUGAGAUUUUGGUACAUGGAAGAAGGAAUAUG